rnacentral:rRNA from 1 species
AACGAACGCUGGCGGCAGGCCUAACACAUGCAAGUCGAGCGCCCCGCAAGGGGAGCGGCGUACGGGUGUGUAACGCGUGGGAACGUACCCUUUGCUACGGAAUAGCCUCGGGAAACUGGGAGUAAUACCGUAUGUGUCCUUCGGGGGAAAGAUUUAUCGGCAAGGGACCGGCCCGCGUUGGAUUAGGUAGUUGGUGGGGGAAUGGCCUACAAAGCCGACGCUCCAUAGAUGGUUUGAGAGGAUGAUCAGCCACACUGGGACUGAGACACGGCCCAGACUCCUACAGGAGGCAGCAGUGGGGAAUCUUAGACAGUGGGCGCAAGCCUGAUCUAGCCAUGCCGCGUAAGCGAUGAAGGCCUUAGGGUUGUAAAGCUCUUUCAGAGGGGAAGAUAAUGACGUUACCCCCAGAAGAAGCCCCGGCUAACUCCGUG